rnacentral:rRNA from 1 species
UACGUAGGCAGCGAGCGUUGUUCGGAGUUACUGGGCGUAAAGAGUGCGUAGGCGGUUCCGUAAGUUUGUUGUGAAAUCUCCCGGCUUAACUGGGAGGGUGCGGCGAAAACUGCGGGGCUUGAGUGUGGGAGAGGUAAGCGGAAUUCCUGGUGUAGCGGUGAAAUACGUAGAGAUUGGGAAGAACACCAGUGGCGAAGGCGGCUAUCUGGACGGUUUCUGACACUAAGACUCGAAAGCGUGGGGAGCAAACAGG